rnacentral:rRNA from 1 species
AAUACUGGCUGGAGACCGAUAGCGCACAAGUAGAGUGAUCGAAAGAUGAAAAGCACUUUGGAAAGAGAGUCAAAAAGUACGUGAAAUUGUUGAAAGGGAAGCGCUUGCAACCAGACCUGUCCGUAGGUGAUCAGCCGCCGUUCUCGGUGGUGCACUCGCCUGCGAUCAGGCCAGCAUCGGUUCGGGCGGUCGGAUAAAGGCCCUGGGAAUGUAGCUCCUCUCGGGGAGUCUUAUAGCCCUCGGUGCAAUGCGGCCAGCCCGGACCGAGGACCGCGCUUCGGCUAGGAUGCUGGCGUAAUGGUUGUAAGCGACCCGUCUUGAAACACGGACCAAGGAGUCUAACAUCUAUGCGAGUGUUUGGGUGUUAAACCCAUACGCGGAAUGAAAGUGAACGGAGGUGAGAACCCUUUAGGGCGCAUCAUCGACCGAUCCAGAUGUCUUCGGAUGGAUUUGAGUAUGAGCAUAGCUGUUGGGACCCGAAAAGAUGGUGAACUAUGCCUGAAUAGGGUGAAGCCAGAGGAAACUCUGGUGGAGGCUCGCAGCGGU